AGAAGGAGAGUGUAUUCCAUCGGAAGGUUUUUUUACUGUCCGGCUAUUCAAGUUCUUCAACAAUUUGGAUUUUGACACUCUUGCGGAGACCAUGAAGACUAACCUCGUCAUGACUGUCGUGUUUCUGACAGCACUGUUCUGGAUCCCAAUCAGCUGCUGCAUUUCCUGCAUGGACAGGAAAAACAAAAAACCCGCACCUAAGAAACCGAUGGCACGCAAAAAACCACCCACUAAAAAAAUGUCUUCGUCCGUGGAUCCCAAGUCUUAUGAAAUGAGGAAUGUGAAUCCGGCAGGAUCUUCAGUCGAUUAGGCAGGAUCUUCAGUCGAUCCGUCCGCACAACCGUAAGGUCCAACGCCUGCCAAACGCCAAUGAAGGGAUGUGGACAAGAAUAAAAUAAGUCCAUCAGUACUGUAAGAAACAGUAUUAACACGAAAUAUUUCAAAGUCUGGCCUAACACCGACAGACUAAAUAAGACCUAAAAU